rnacentral:misc_RNA from 1 species
CCGUGUAAUUGUGUAUUUCUUUGGCAGCUACUUAGGCUAGCUUAGCAAAUAUGUUGUUAUUUAUUUAUUAUCUUUAUGCGGAUUACGGGACAAUCCCGAAUAGUAUUUUAUAACAUUGAGUUUAUACGUUUUACACACAAGAUUGACAUAUAUCAAUUUGCAUCACGGUUUAACCGAAACUGGAAAGUGACUGAGACAGGUCACAGAGUGAGAGUAAAUGUGAAUAUAAUCCCCGCACUUCGAUGAAUCGAGUGUCUUGUGAAAUACAAGAGAGGGAGCCAAGAUACAAGAUUGUGUAUGUGACUUAUGUACCGUUGAACUAGCUCCAAGAAACGGACUUGCUAGGGUUAGAGACAAUCGGUCGCUCGUCGGGCUACCGUUGUACGUGUGGUGCCAGGUGUGCAUCACUGGCGUGCGGUAUACUAUAUACUAUAGACGCAUAUCACACAACUAUUCUCUUGAAGAUAAAAAGUUCACAACUAGCCAGUAACACGAGCGACCAUGGCACCUCAACAUAAAUCUUCAAUCUGGUUCUAUGCCACCUCUUGGCUAAGCUAUUUCUUCUGGCACAUGUUUAAAUGGCUCCUAAGGAGAAUUACUGGAAAAUGUGAAUUACAGCGAAUUUGUUACAACCAUCGGGAAGGAGCACCCAGAACUAUGAGAAUUGAAAAAUCACUGAGAUGUUCCAAAAGUACAUUACUACAAAAUGUGCUGUCGAGAGAGCAACAUGGCAGUGUGCAGGAGUGUGUUUCACAGGUGAUGAAGCUAAAAGUCAUCAAUCAAGAAGCACAUCCAAUAUUUGCUCUAAGAUUUGGGCAAUGCCUUGAGCAGAUCUGGUCUUACCAAGCACUGGUGAAGGAGGUGGAGAUGACCCGGCUACUGCGGUACGAUUCCCUUAAUGAAACUCAUGAAACACUUCUGAUGGAGCUGUGGUGUAAGCUAGUACCUGAAAGACAACUACCUAGCAGGAUUACCAAGGAAUGGUCAUAUAUUGGGUUUCAAGGAGAUGACCCAGCAACAGACUUUCGAGGCAUGGGCAUGCUGGGUCUUCAUAAUUUGCUGUUCUUUGCAUCACAGUAUAGAAAUGCUGCACGUCACGUUCUCCAGCGGUCACAUCACCCCAAGUUUCGAUAUUCUCUCGCAAUAGUGGGAAUCAAUAUAACAAGUAUGGCCUAUCACUUGUUGUGCUGCGGUGCACUUAAAAAUCAUAUGUACAACACUGUGAUUGGAGCUCCGUCACUUCUACACUUUCAUCUGACAUACAGUUACUUGCUGUACGAAUUCGACAAGUUCUGGUUUGCCGAGGAACCGGCAGACAUCAUGGAGUUCAGCCGGGUGCGCGAGAAAUUCCUCAGUCAAGUCUCAGAGUACUUACAGAGCGAAUAUGCAAGGCUGAAACUUGACAUUAGUGAUGAGAACAUGCUUGCGCCCGAUCAGGGUUAGGAUCUUGUAAAGCCUAUUGCCUUAAUUAGUUGCCAUUGUUUCUGUUCUUGUUCCCAUUAUAAUCCUUGUCAUUAUUUUGUACAGCGUUGUCCUUGCUAGAGUAUUUAUUACCAUGAAUGUGUUCAUUUGUGAACACACAAUUUCACAUGUAGCCUGUAACAUCGGUGCCUCGUAUGGAACUGUCAAAUGCGUCAUCAAAUGAGUGAUGUAGCCCAUAGUUGGAAUGUUAUUGCAGCGUUAAUUAAAUGUUAAGUAAUUUAUUUGCAAAUAAGUCAUGCAUUACGAUGCAACAAUGAUCUCUUAUGUCUUAAAAAUCCUUGAUCUUUUAUUAUGUCAUUAAAUUGUAAACUUCAUAUAAAACUGUGUUAUGAAGUGUAGUUUAGUUACCCAGCUAAACUAGGUAAUUAUAUUUGAGCCAUUUCAUUCAUAAACUUAUUUUAACAUAAUCGUGAAUUAUGUCAGGUCAGGAUUAAAGCAGCUAUAGCCAAGAAUGUUCACUUUUAUUUUUCUGCAUUUGAUUUAUUAAGGAACAGCAUGUUACCAUUAAGAAAAAAAUGUAUAAAUAUGUUGGUGUCAGUGAUGACAUCAGAUCACACAUGUUCACCCCACACUUCCUCAGACAAGCCAAUGUGUUCCCUAGCAACUGCUGCACAAUAGCGCACAAGCAACCCCAUGCUUCACAGAAUGGAGCAUCCUUUUUCUUCCCCGCCCUCUGCCUGAACUACAAUCUGACGUGUGUGGGAACAUGCUGUCAUGUUUACCGGUGUCAUUUCUUUAUGAAAAAGGAUUACAGUAUUAUGUUAUAUAGAUGAUUAGGAGCGUUUGAUUUUAUUCACUCCUGAAAUAAUUACACCUUGCUCAUUGGAAAUAUCUGGUUGUACUGCUUUAUCUACUAUAAACUCAGAAAAGAUAUGUUUAUUCAUUUUUGCAAUGAAUGGUUGCACUCAUGUUAAAAAUAAUUUGCAGGAUACAGAUUACAGUAUGCUAUUGAAGUGUGUGGCCGUUUUUUUGGAACGAGUUGUGAUACACAUUAUGUGAUUGUAGUCAAUUUGUAUGUACUUCUUAAUUAUAUUUAAUGUUUACAUUCUUUUUCACAAUGGUGGCUAAUUCUUCAUAAUGUAUAUAUGUAUGUGUGUAUGUAUGUACUAUAUAUAUAUAUAUAUAUAACACAUAUAUCACAAUAUCUAUUCACGCUAUUAAGCAUCUGCAUGUGGUGUUUACUUGAUAACAGAUAUUACUCGGACACCAUAACUUUGAUGCAUUUAGAUGAAUUCUGUAAUGUGAAAAAGAGCUUGCCUUCCUAAAAAAUCCAAAUCAGUUUACACCAAUGUGAACAGUUAUUGAAGCAACGCAGUGCAUAGUAAAUACUGUGUAAUUUGUUAAUUAAUUGCUUGUUUAUGUGGUAUGUGCUAUCAUCCCAUAGUACUCGUGGCAAGGCCAUUAAGAUAUAUAUAUAUAUUCAAUAAAUGUAUAUCACAAACCCAUAUUAUUCAUGUCUAGCAAAUAAACCAAAGUUAAAAAUAAUACACAAAUAAUACACUAAA